rnacentral:rRNA from 1 species
GAUGAACGCUGGCGGCGUGCCUAAUACAUGCAAGUCGAGCGAACAGACGAGGAGCUUGCUCCUCUGACGUUAGCGGCGGACGGGUGAGUAACACGUGGAUAACCUACCUAUAAGACUGGGAUAACUUCGGGACACCGGAGCUAAUACCGGAUAAUAUAUUGAACCGCAUGGUUCAAUAGUGAAAGACGGUUUUGCUGUCACUUAUAGAUGGAUCCGCGCCGCAUUAGCUAGUUGGUAAGGUAACGGCUUACCAAGGCAACGAUGCGUAGCCGACCUGAGAGGGGGAUCGGCCACACUGAAGCUGGGACACGGUCCAGACUCCUACGGGAGGCAGCAGUAGGGAAUCUUCCGCAAUGGGCGAAAGCCUGACGGAGCAACGCCGCGUGAGUGAUGAAGGUCUUCGGAUCGUAAAACUCUGUUAUUAGGGAAGAACAAAUGUGUAAGUAACUAUGCACGUCUUGACGGUACCUAAUCAGAAAGCCACGGCUAACUACGUG